AUCCGGCGGGUGCUAGCGUUAUUCGGAAUUACUGGGCGUAAAGCGCACGCAGGCGGUUGGAUAAGUUAGAUGUGAAAGCCCCGGGCUCAACCUGCGAAUUGCAUUUAAAACUGUCCAGCUAGAGUCUUGUACAGGGGGGUAGAAUUCCAGGUGUAGCGGUGAAAUGCGUAGAGAUCUGGAGGAAUACCGGUGGCGAAGGCGGCCCCCUGGACAAAGACUGACGCUCAGGUGCUAAAGCGUGGGGAGCAAACAGGAUUAGAUACUCUGGUAGUCCACGCCGUACACGAUGUCGAUUUGGGAGGCUGUGUCCUUGAGACGUGGCUUCCGGAGCUAACGCGUCAAAUCGACCGCCUGGGGAGUUCGGUCGCAAGGUUAAAACUCAAAUGAAUUGACGGGGGCCCGGCACAAGCGGUGGAGCAUGUCGGUUUAAUUCGAUGCAAC
rnacentral:rRNA from 1 species